rnacentral:rRNA from 1 species
CCUACGGGCGGCAGCAGUGGGGGAUAUUGCACAAUGGGGGAAACCCUGAUGCAGCGACGCCGCGUGAGUGAAGAAGUAUUUCGGUUUGUAAAGCUCUAUCAGCAGGGAAGAAAAUGACAGUACUUGACCAAGCAGCCCCGGCUAACUACGUGCCAGCAGCCGCGGUAACACGUAGGGGGCACGCGUUAUCCGGAUUUACUGGGUGUAAAGGGAGCGUAGACGGUUAUGUAAGUCUGGAGUGAAAGCCCGGGGCCCAACCCCGGGACUGAAUUGGAAACUGUGUAACUGGAGUACAGGAGGGGCAGGCGGAAUUCCAGGUGGAGCGGUGAAAUGCGGAGAUAUCAGGAGGAACACCGGCGGCGAAGGCGGCCUGCUGGACUGAAACUGACGUUGAGGCUCGAAAGCGUGGGGAGCAAACAGGAUUAGAUACCCCGGUAGUC